rnacentral:rRNA from 1 species
UACGUAGGCAGCAAGCGUUGUUCGGAGUUACUGGGCGUAAAGGGUGCGUAGGUGGCUCUAUAAGUAUGGUGUGAAAUCUCCCGGCUUAACUGGGAGGGUGCGCCGUAGACUGUGGGGCUAGAGUGUGGGAGAGGAAAGUGGAAUUCCUGGUGUAGCGGUGAAAUGCGUAGAUAUCAGGAGGAACACCGGUGGUGUAAACGGCUUUCUG